ACGGAAUAAUGACUUCGGUUAUUAUUUAGUGGCGGAAGGGUUAGUAAUACAUAGAUAAUCUGUCCUCAACUUGGGAAUAACGGUUGGAAACGACCGCUAAUACCGAAUGUGGUAUGUUUAGGCAUCUAAAACAUAUUAAAGAAGGGGAUCUUAGGACCUUUCGGUUAAGGAAGAGUCUAUGGGAUAUCAGCUUGUUGGUGGGGUAAUGGCCUACCAAGG
rnacentral:rRNA from 1 species